rnacentral:misc_RNA from 1 species
GGUGAAGAACUUAGUGAAAUGCGAUAAGUAAUGUGAAUUGCAGAAUUCAGUGAAUCAUCGAAUCUUUGAACGCACAUUGCGCCCCCUGGUAUUCCGGGGGGCAUGCCUGUCCGAGCGUCAUUACUGCCCUCAAGCGCGGCUUGUGUGUUGGGCCCUCGUCCCCCCCGGGGGACGUGCCCGAAAGGCAGUGGCGGCGCCGUGCCCGGACCUCGAGCGUAUGGGGCUUUGUCACCCGCUCUGGAGACCCGGCCGGCGGCCGUCGGACCACCCCAACCUUUUUAACCGGUUGACCUCGGAUCAGGCAGGGAUACCCGCUGAACUUAAGCAUAUCAAUAAGCGGAGGA